rnacentral:rRNA from 1 species
UACGUAGGGACCAAGCGUUGUUCGGAUUUACUGGGCGUAAAGGGCGCGUAGGCGGCAUGACAAGUCACUUGUGAAAUCUCUGGGCUUAACCCAGAACGGCCAAGUGAUACUGUCGCGCUAGAGUGCGGAAGGGGCAAUCGGAAUUCUUGGUGUAGCGGUGAAAUGCGUAGAUAUCAAGAGGGAACACCUGAGGUGAAGACGGGUUGCUGGGCCGACACUGACGCUGAGUGCGGCGAAAGCCAGGGGAGCAAACGGG